rnacentral:rRNA from 1 species
UACGUAGGAGGCAAGCGUUGUCCGGAAUUACUGGGCGUAAAGAGCUCGUAGGUGGUUUGUCGCGUUGUUCGUGAAAACUCACAGCUCAACUGUGGGCGUGCGGGCGAUACGGGCAGACUGGAGUACUGCAGGGGAGACUGGAAUUCCUGGUGUAGCGGUGAAAUGCGUAGAUAUCAGGAGGAACACCGGUGGUGUAAACGGCUUUCUGGACCAUAACUGACACUGAGGCACGAAAGCGUGGGUAGCAAACAGG